CCCCAAUAAGGUGAGGACCCUUGUAGUUUAGGUGUUUGAUGAAAUGCCUAUUCAAGGUAAAAUUCUAGUUAACGUGUCCAUGCUGCUUUGUUUUUUUUGGCAAUUAUGUUGUGAUGUUCUAGCUUCAUGUUCGUGUAAUUAGAUGUUGUGGGUAUGAGAAGCAGGCACUACUUUUUCUUCAGACAGGUGUAUUUCCUGAGAAGUUCCACCUAAUGAGUCUUGCACCUCAGCGAAGAGUAGUGCUGCAUUCUCCACAUCUCCAACUGCAACAUUUGCCUCCUGCUGUUUGUGAUCCUUCUUAUCUCUUUUUGGUCUUUUACAGUCUUCUGCCCAAUGACCAUAGAUGCCACAGUUUCUGCAUCUCCCUUUUCUUCUGGGUGUUCCUUGUGAUGUCAAUUUGACCUUGUGAGGAGUACUGGAGCUAGCACCUUCAGAUUUGUUAGAAACUUUUGCCUUCCACUGGUUUGUCCCUCCACUAUUACUGUUCUUGUGUGAAUUGGACUGAAACAUUUGCUUGUGUUUCUCCAACCAUUCCUCUUCAGCUAGUAGCAGUCUUCCUGCUUUGUCUGUGACUUGCUCCAGUUUGUCUUCAAACCGAUCUUUAGCUGCCCGAAGCCUUCCAACUAGGUCUUCAACUGAAAGUGUCUUGACAUCACAGAACAUCUCGAUUGAGACAGCAACUUGAUUGAACUGGGGUGGCACAACUCUUAGAAACUUCUUGACAACACGAGUAUCUUCUAAGGGUUCACCAAGUGAUUUGAUAGAAAUUUUGACACUUAAUAGGAAAUAUAAUUUAAAAAGUUAGGUGGUGUACUCAUCUGUAUUUUUUACUAUUCUUUGUUUUCUUGCAUUCUAUGAGAUGCAUGCUUUGUAAGGAAUAUGAUUUGUUUCGUGACAACAAAAUUGAUAGAAUAUGUAUUUUAAAGUCUAAAUUGAUGACUAUGAUGCACCAGGUGACACUCCACUGGACAGUCAACUCCAGAUAGGGCUAGACAUGUAACGGUCUAAGAAAGAAGGUUCGAUAUUUUCUUUUUAAUUGAACUGUUGUUUUACCUUUUUCCUUGCUUGCUUUUGCUUUUGCAGAGCUGAUGAACUGCAAACAGUGCUUAUGGAGAUGGUAAAGCAAGACAGUAGGCACCAAUUAAGUGCAAAGGUAUAGAGUACUUUCCUAUUAUUUAUAGAGAAAAUAUUCAAUUAAGGUCUGUGUAUCUGCUUGGUAGGGCGCUUCCUUCUUCUAGUCUCUAUUUAUUUGUCAAAAAAACAUGUCAAAUACUUCUUCGAUGAUGUUUAUUGAGUACUCUAGUUCUUUUGCAAGGGUGAAUUGAAGGAACUUUAGACGUGCUUGUGCCCAUCCUCAGCGCAAAACACAGUGGCAACGAAAGAUUUAAGGAUGCAUGAAUAUGUACUUCGAACUUUCUUUGUAAUAAACCUGGCACUCCCAUGUUGCGGCACUU
rnacentral:lncRNA from 1 species